GAUGCAGUUUUUGGAUUCCUUUGAUUCUCUAUUAAUUCAUUCGGGUAUGUAUUAUUUCAUUUCAAGAAUUAUGUUUUCUUGAAUUUAUAUUUGCUUUCUAAAAUCUCUGUAACCAUAGCCUUUCCUUAUGUCUGUUGUUUUAUCCCUGUCUCAUGUUUGUUCAAUGUUGAUGAUUCCUAUCGGGGAUUUGAAAUAGUUAGUGCCCACUCAAGGCCAUCUGUAUAUUUGGGUUGGGUAGCAUCUCAGAGAAUGAAUCACUUUCAAUGGGAACUAUGUCAAAUUUUGAUUAAUUAGAUCAUAAUCAGGAAUUCUAAUAUGCUACUUGAACAGAGUAAAAACAGGAGGGAAAAAACAGCCUUGUACCGUUGUACGAGUCUAGAGCAGGACUUUAACCAUGAUAAUUUUCCAAUUUUGGUUAGAAAUUCCUCUAAAAGCAUAAGCUCAUAUUAGCUAACCAUUUUGGUUCAUAUUAGCUAAGUAGUAGGUGUAAAUCCUUUGAACAUCAGUCUGCAACAACCAUUAUCGUGCUAAAACCCAACUAACCAUGAUUUACAAAUACAUGAAAAAAUGAAGACAACCAAAACAGAUGUUAGAUUCUGUUUAAAGAGUAGUAAGCAUGUUAAAAGCGUAUUUCAUUUUUGUUUAGCCAAUUGAAGACAAUUGUACAUCUCAUUUUUGUUCAAGAACUUAACAAUACAGGAAAGCUAAGCAGAAUUUGUGGGGAAAAAUUAAUAAAAUAAUCUAAAUUUGUAGGCAAAGGAUCAGAACCAUAUUUGUAAACUGACUGCUUUACGAGAAGCACGUGUUCUAGCAAAACCUCAGCUUUCUUUCAACUCGGUGACAACCCUUUUUCCUGGAUUGUAAAUAACAAAAUCAAGUGAGCUUCCGGCCUUCCACCUUACUUCUAUACAUUUGCUUAUUUAUUAGUAGUACAUACAGUUCACCAUGUUUUUUUUGGAUGCCUCAUCAAAUGUGGAUACUCUUGCUAAGUGCCUGAGGUUCAAAUGAUGACACUUGAUUCUUACCAUAAGUUGUCUGUUUGGAUUAUAUAGUUAGAUUUUUUUGUGUAGUUUGGUUACUAAGGAGCUUAAGGGUAACCUGGAUCAUGUGUCAAAUGCAAUGAUCUAAUUAAAACUGUGUGUUCGUAUUGAUACGAGGAAAUUAAUGAUAGUGAUGAAGAGAAGGUUUGAAGGGAUGAAGAAGACAUUUAAGAGAGUUAAAUGAUAUGCAAUCCAGUACCGACCUGUCCACCUUUGACGAUGACUAACACAUCACUGACCAAACAAUUGUCUAGGUGUGAAAGUCUCUCUGACCAAGACUCUCUAUAUUUCUCUACUUCUCAUGCAUACACACAACACACACAAUACAUGCAAAAACACACACACAUAACUGUAACCAAUCAAACACUUACAAAUCAAACUCACACACCAUUAUACUGCCACCAAUACAGAUUUAUAAGUUAAAUCAUUAAGCAAAUGAACCGUUUGUUGAAAUGGUACUAAGAAUACUUUAUUUGAUUGUAAGUCUACAUUCAUCCAUAUCUUUUCCAAAAUAAGUUGAUAAUUUGUUACAAUCUCUCUAAAUUCUUACUUAUAUAAAUCUAAAUCAUCCCCCCCCACACUACAUACAAAUGUGUGUGCUCAUUUAUUUUUUAGAUAAUUUAGGGUAAAGUAAGGGUUCUUAUGUUUCGGAUUUAUAGUUGUUUUAUUUUGACUCACAUAUUUCGAUAAUUUUUAUAUUUCAAAUAUUUUCAGGUAUACAUUGAAGGAUACUUGGUGUAAGAUGUAAAGAAUACUUGGUGUAAGCUGUAAAGUAAUGGGUCUUAUGCUCAACAUGUUGUUUCUCUAUUUUCUGCAUGUUUGUAUUUUUUGUGUUACGUCUUUUGUAAAGUUAACUAAUUAUACAUGGUUAUAAUGAUUUUUGGGUAUGGAAUGAUG
rnacentral:lncRNA from 1 species